UGUAAUGUAGGUGUUCAGAUA
rnacentral:piRNA from 1 species